rnacentral:rRNA from 1 species
GACGAACCGAGCGAACGUUGUUCGGAAUAACUGGGCUUAAAGGGCGCGUAGGCGGGCUCCCAAGUUCGAGGUGAAAUCCUCCGGCUCAACCGGAGAACUGCCUCGAAUACUGGAGGCCUCGAGGCGGGUAGGGGCGUGCGGAACUGUGGGUGGAGCGGUGAAAUGCGUUGAUAUCCACAGGAACUCCGGUGGCGAAGGCGGCACGCUGGACCCGAUCUGACGCUGAGGCGCGAAAGCCAGGGGAGCAAACGGG